GCGGUCCUUUCGUUGACAGAAGAGUCAUAGACAACCCAGUCUUGCAUACGUAGCAGGCGAGAAGAGUUCCAAAAUCGAACGCCAUGAAGAUAAUUUUCCUGGUACUGAUGUUGGUGAGCCUCCUGUCCGUCGUGGUCCACGGGGCGCCCCAGCUGGUCAUCACCCGGAGGAGACAAUUCCCCGGCGAGAGGAGACUGGGAAGCACCAACUAUGGCCCGUACAGCUUCGGCAAGAGAGGCUUUGCGAGAAGAAACAAUCCAGCAAAGAAGAGUUCCCUCGAAUAAGGAACACUAAAACAGCCUCCGAUUGAUACCCUUGUUGGAGUAACCAAGGAUUUUUUAAUGAUCAAAGCAGUACAAGAGAUUGUAACUUUAGCCCAUAAUAGUUUUAUUUUUAUUAUGAAAGGACGUGUGCAUUCCAUCUUUCUCUAUACAUUAGUUGUCAUGAUGCUAAAUGACAAUGUAUGGUUUUAUUUACUGAUUGGCUUUACUGCAAAGAUGAAGAAUCCUGUUUUUUUAUGCUUACUCUUCUUGAAGGUGGCAGAGAUUCAGUAUCUGCUGAGUGGAUUUUUCUAUUCUAAGCUGUGCCGAUAUACCAGUUUCAUAUCUUGUUUAAAUAGUUCACCGAGACGUAGAACUGA